GCGUCCAUUGUCUAAUGGAUAGGACAGAGGCUUUCUAAACCUUUGGUAUAGGUUCAAAUCCUAUUGGAUGCA
rnacentral:tRNA from 1 species